UGCUUAUUUACGUUAUCUAGAGCAGCCAGCAAAAAAUAUGUAAAAAAAAUUAAAAAGCAUUCGAAUUAAUAUGUAAGGUGUGAAAAGCUAGCAUCUUUAGAGACUACUUCAAUUUAUGGUUUAAAAUACUCAAACCUCAAAAUAUAAUUGGAUAAUGGAUUGAAUUGGAACUAAAUGGUUAAGUUUUCUAGCACACGCAUCGUGAAGUACUAGUUUCGAGCAUUUUGAACUGUGUACAGUGCAUUGUCAUAUUUUUUUAAUUUUUAUUAAUUACGCUAUUUUUAAAGAUUAUAUACAAGCAUAAUUAUAAUUUAGGUAAUUUUUACUCAAAAAGUAAGUUUUAAAAUUUUAAAAUUUCAUAGUUUUAUGAGUAGACAAAA